rfam:Azospirillum sp. CAG:260 genomic scaffold, scf75
AUUAAAGUGGUACGCGAGCUGGGUUUAGAACGUCGUGAGACAGUUCGGUCCCUAUCUGCCGUGGGUGUAGGAUACUUGAAAGGAUUUGUCCUUAGUACGAGAGGACCGGGAUGAACAUACCUCUGGUGUACCAGUUGUUUCGCCAGAAGCAACGCUGGGUAGCUAAGUAUGGAAGGGAUAACCGCUGAAUGCAUCUAAGCGGGAAACCCACCUUGAAACUAGGUAUCCCAAUUAAGACCGUGGUAGACCACCACGUUGAUAGGUUGGGUGUGUAAGCACAGCAAUGUGUUUAGCUAACCAAUACUAAUAGUCUGAUUGGCUUGAUUUA